UGUAACAGCAACUCCAUGUGGACUGUAAUAGUUUCCAGUGGAGAUGCUGUUACUUU
rnacentral:pre_miRNA from 1 species